UUUCCGUCUGCUACCAAGCACUAAGCUACAAGGAGGGAAACACUCAUUCAAUUGAGAACAAGAACAGACAUGCAAUUAGUUUGCUGAAAAGUUAGAACUCAAGCCUUCUGGCUUCAAGACUUUCCCUAUUUAUUUAAAUAAUUCAUAAUAUCCUCCAGUAAAUAAAAAUUAUUUAGGGCAUUUCAAAGCAUCUGUUCUAUUUCCUAAUUGGACAGCAAUAAUGAUGUCUUAUGGGUUUAUAAUGUAUAUACAAUAAUAUAUAUGGGAACAAUAAUAUAAAGUGGGGGUCAUGAAUUGGGGUGGGCGAGAAGACCAUAGAUUGUCUUGUAGGAAAUGCACAAAUACAUACAAAAGCCUCAACCUCUGACUCCUUCUCUACCCUUCUGGCACAUAGUAGGUGCUUCACGAUUAUUUCUUAAAACAAUAAGUAAACUGAUUUGCCACUUAGUAGCUCAAGCUCUUUGCUUCUUCACCCCCCUUCCAUUGUCUAGGUUUAUUUAUUUUUUAAAAAUUUUCAUUGGCAUACUCCUUACAAUCUACAUUGUAAAUACAAACUGGGAGCAAUAAGUAGCCACCUCACUUAGUGGAUUCACUAUUUACAUCCUUCAUUUUAGCAUAUUUUGUUUUCUAGGUCAUGAGAAAUACUCACUGCUGCCCUAGAGAAGCUUCCAAUGGGUGCCUGGCCUAUGCCACUUGUUUGGAAGGGUGUGAAGGAGAGUCCACGUCUCUCCUUGUGAGGGGCACUCUCAGGGCAGUAGUGGAGUCUGCAUGACAGGGUCUCUCACUGCAAUCUCCCAUGAGCCUUGUGCUCUGUGACAUGGAGCAGUACCGUGAGCCUUGCCAAGCUUUGGGAUUUUCCCUGUUUUCCUACCCACACCCCUGCCGCAGAAAAAUCUAUUUCUUCCAGUUCCCUCUGUUCAGAUUCUACUGUUCCUUUAAAUCUAACUGAAAACUGAUUUCAGGAAGUCUUUUCUGAUAGUCUCCAUGUAGGUCAUUUUUGUUUUGUAAUUUUUUUUUUUUUUUUUUUUUUUGAGAAACAGCCUUGCUCUGCCACCCAGGCUGUAGUGCAGUGGCCGGAUCUCGGCUCACUGCUACCUCCGCCUCCCGAUUCUCCUCACCACAACCUCUCACCUCUGUUCAAGCGAUUCUCCUAAUUCAUCCUCUCGGGUAGCUGGGAUUACAGUCACCCACGACCACACCCGGCUAAUUUUUGUAUUUGUUAGUAGAGUCAGGGUUUCGCCAUGUUGGCCAGGCUGGUCUCGAACUCCUGACCUCAGGUGAUCCACCUGCCUUAGUCUCCCAAAGUGCUGGGUUUACAGGUGUGAGCCACAGUGCCCGGCCUGUUUUUAUGAUUUUUCUAUACCUCACAGCACUUUAUCUGUACCUCUCAAAUGGUUAUGUUCUCCUUUCAUCAACACAUAACAUUGUUUAUGUGCAUUCCUUGUAUUGUACCAAGAUCCUUGAAGGGAGGAAAACAUCUGCAUAUCUUUUGGUACAUGAGCAACAUCUGUGUUCUCAUGGAGUUUAGAUACUAGUGAGGAUUUAUAAUUAAGCAGAUAAAGUAAUAAGAAAAAAUAUGUCAGGUAUUGGCAAGUGCUUCACAGAGAAUGAAAACAAGUUGGCAUGACAAAGGGUCACAUGUUAUAAAGGGUCAAGGUGGUAAUACUGGAGCUGAAGUCUGAAUGGGAGAAAUCAACCAGCUCCAGACAGACCCUGAAGCAGAGGGUUCUAGAUGGGAAACAAGUCCUGUCCUGCCAGGCCUUCUACAGGAACACACUUGGUGGUAAAGAAUUGGAAACAAACAAAAAAAGAGCUUCUGGCUGGAGCACCUCCAUGAGAAGGAGGCUAAGCUAGUAUGAAGUGUGAGGUUAACAGGGAUCAGAUUAUGCGGGGCGCUGUAAGGCAAGAUAAGGAGUUUACAUUUUAUUCUAAGAGUGAAUGGUACCAGGUGUGCUGGCUCAUGACUGUAAUCCCAGCAUUUUGGGAGGCCAAGGCAGGAGGAUUGCUUGAGCCCAGGAGGUCAAGGCUGUAGUGAGCUGGGAUCGUGUCACUGCAGCACUUCUACCUGGGUGCCUGAGUGACAGAACAAGACCCUGCCAAAAAAAAAAAAAAGAAAGAAAGAAAA
rnacentral:lncRNA from 10 species